GGCCCUACGGGACGCAGCAGUGAGGAAUAUUGGUCAAUGGGCGCGAGCCUGAGCCAGCCAAGUCGCGUGAGGGAAGACGGUCCUAUGGAUUGUAAACCUCUUUUGUCGGGGAGCAAAAGACGCCACGCGUGGCGUUCCGAGAGUACCCGAAGCAAAAGCAUCGGCUAACUCCGUGCCAGCAGCCGCGGUAAUACGGAGGAUGCGAGCGUUAUCCGGAUUUAUUGGGUGUAAAGGGUGCGUAGACGGAAGAACAAGUUGGUUGUGAAAUCCCUCGGCUCAACUGAGGAACUGCAACCAAAACUAUU
rnacentral:rRNA from 1 species